AUUCGUGUGUUUGCUGGAUUUGCGUGAACACCUCAUCCUCCCAUCGCGCUCUACCUUGUCCUCCCGUCGCUGCCACUCCUUGCCUCUCCUCACCGGCGCCUGUAGCGGCGUCCUCGCAGCUGACGCGCACGCGAGGUCAGUCCAGGACUUCUGCGGCCGCAAGCUCCGCCUGUGCCCGGUGCUGCGGGACGGCGCAGCCCAAGGGACGCGGCGAGCUAAUGCAGGUGGAGUUGCUCCGCCCCGUGGUGGCGGCGGGCAGGGAGGGGUUCGGGGUGCGCGUGCUGGACGAGUGCGGCGAGAUGUAGUCCGACGGCUGCCACCACGCUGAGGUGGUUGUUUGGGUGGCGGCCGCAGUUGCGUGCAGCGGCAAUGCGGUGCGCUGCGCCGGGCCACAAGCGACCCAGGUUCCAGGCCUCCCCCUACAUCUUCUGCAUUAACGAUUACCAAAUUCAGUGCGAUCAAAUCAUGCAAAGGGACUGUUUAUUGGAUAGCACCUGAGGCUGCUGGAGAGAGCAAGCAGUUAGAAGAGAUUGGUUGAGGAUAAGAUGCUAGGCAGGAACAAGCAGUAGACAGAAGAGAUAAAGAUAUAUGGUGUCUUGUUUUGUGUGCUUUGUACUAAUGACUUAGAUUCUGCUAUAUAUAUAGUUUGGGCUAUUAAAAUGGGCUUGGCCCAUGUAUGUAUAGAAUUGGAUUGGCCUCUAAAUUUAUGGGCCACAAUGAAAAUGAAAAUAAAGUUCCUAAUA